UACGGAGGUGGCGAACGUUACUCGGUAUGACUGGGUGUAAAGGGUCUGUAGGUGGAUAGAUAAGUGCAAGGUGAAAGCCUUUGGCUCAACCAAAGAAUUGCCUUGUAUACUGUCUAUCUUGAGGUCAGGAGAGGAGAGUAGAACUGCCGGUGUAAGGGUGAAAUCUGUAGAUAUCGGCGGGAAUGCCCAUGACGAAGGUAGCUCUCUGGCCUGAUCCUGACGCUGAGGGACGAAAGCUAGGGGAGCAAACAGG
rnacentral:rRNA from 1 species